GCGUUAUAGCGAGGGAUGACUGUAUAUUGAAAGAACAUGUUGUGAAAUCCAUUUAAUGUUAUUCAACGUGCAGUUUCAUUGGUCCAUUCAGUGUUUGUUUAAUGUGGCGAUGGUGUAUAUUCUGAUGUAGUGAUGCAAUGGUUUACUGUUACACUGUGUACAGUUACAUCGCUACUAGAUGUGUACUGGGAUACUGUACAGUUCUACUGCUAAUACAUGUUUGAUGGGAUGUUGUACAGUGAUUGCUGUGUUGCAGGCUGGAGUUUCCCAUGUGCCAAACACUGCUGUAGUCAAUCAUUCACACCAGUCAAUUUGACCUUGACGCAACACUAUAUUUUGUACUCAGAAAAAGCUUCUUGUUCAAGGAGAGGUAGUGUCAUCUUACAGAGGACAGCAUUAAUGGCGGGAUAACCGCCUCUGUCAUGUCGACAGGGACCCAACCUUCGAUCAGAAGGGCCGUGGUUCAUAUCCAAUCACUGACUUAAAAAUGUUACAGUCUCACCGUUGGUGUCCAGUAUGAGCAUGUGUAUUUUAAUUGGGCUAAAGAGAGCCUCGCUACUAAGCAUCCCAGGGAGUCUCUAACCUGGUCUGGAGUCGUCCUAGACGACAUCAUAAACUUCUUAACAAGGUUUUACUACUAAAUCUUGAAUUUGAAAAUAAAUAACUUUUGUAAAGUCUACUGUCUAUCCCUCCCAUUUAUAUAGAACACAAUGCCACUCAACUUUUCAAAGCUAUCCAGUGUAGAGGGUUCAUGUGCAUCCUACUAAUGUCCACGUCAGUAAACCAAUAAAAACAGGAAUUUUGGACAGAUAUCCUGUAUACCUUUAAAGUAUUGAGAGGCAUAUAGUUUCACAAGUUCAUGUGACUAAUACUUAUGUGCCAAAGUUUUAGGCUUCAACACCUCAAUAUCCCUAUUUAAGGUUGAGUACUAUGGAUUUACUAUUUUUCUAUAAGUUCAACUGAAAGGCUUCCACAUUUCAUUAUCCCCACCAAAAGGUGAGUAGAAUACAGGUAUGCUGUCUGAGCUGUAUGAAGUGUAACUGUUAUGUAUUUGUGACCUUUGUACUGAGCAGCUGUAAUAAUACCGGUAACAAACACGUCUUACUGUUGUCAGGUAUGGUUUGUAGAGAAAAUAUCAAUAAAUCUGGAAAUAA